GAUGAACGCUAGCUACAGGCUUAACACAUGCAAAUCGAGGGGAAACGAUAUUGGAAGCUUGCUUCCGAUAGGCGUCGACCGGCGCACGGGUGAGUAACGCGUAUCCAACCUCCCCACCACUUGGGAAUAACCUUGCGAAAGUAAGACUAAUGCCCAAUGAUAUCUCUAGAACACAUCUGAAAGAGAUUAAAGAUUAUUCGGUGAUGGAUGGGGAUGCGUCUGAUUAGCUUGUUGGCGGGGUAACGGCCCACCAAGGCGACGAUCAGUAGGGGUUCCGAGAGGAAGGUCCCCCACAUUGGAACUGAGACACGGUCCAAACUCCUACGGGAGGCAGCAGUGAGGAAUAUUGGUCAAUGGGCGAGAGCCUGAACCAGCCAAGUAGCGUGCAGGAUGACGGCCCUAUGGGUUGUAAACUGCUUUUAUAAGGGAAUAAAGUGAGCCUCGUGAGGCUUUUUGCAUGUACCUUAUGAAUAAGGACCGGCUAAUUCCGUGCCAGCAGCCGCCGUAA
rnacentral:rRNA from 1 species